rnacentral:lncRNA from 1 species
CUAAGAAACGCGGAAGCGUCCCGUUUUUAAGGUGGAGCGGAUAGCGUCAAUAAGAAGCUGCGAGUAAGAAGCUGAAUUCAGCCUCGUGAUCCCGGGGGGCUACCGAUGCGCGGAGGGUGGCGUUCGAGAGGGCUCCUCGAGCUGAAGGGAUCCCCCGAAUUUGGUGGAGAUCCGCCGGCGCGUUCGCGAGAUAGUGACACCAGUCAACACUUUCACUUCAUGGUAAAAUGCACUGACUGUGAAGAAUCCAAAUGGCCUGAUAUAAAAGGAGUAGCAGCAGCAGCAGCAGCAGUAGUAGUACUUCUACCUGUAGUUACACUUCUGAUUGUUUGGCAGCGCUACAAAAGGAGAAGGUUAGAUGGCAAUGACACUACUGUGAUGAGAGAAACAUAUGAUCAUCUUCAGACACAGGAGAAUUUACACAGGAAUGGCGUAAUACUGCAGUGAAACAUCAGAGAGUUUAAAAUGCUGUUGACUACUGAAAAAUUACAUUUAUUUUGCACAUUCGUGAACAGUUUUGUUUUGCAUUUCCGGGGUUCUGAUAAGUUCAAGUAGUCAAAAAUCAUUUAAAUACUAGUAAACUACAGCAAAUUUAAUUUUUGCAUGCCGGUUUGCUCCAAUACUUAUAGUGAUAAUCCAUGAUAGCAUUUCUAUGACUUUCCAAAAUGGAAAAAAAAAUCUGGAGAUUGAUAACAGCCAUCAGAAGAGAGAAAGAUGUCAAAUUUGGUCUGCCGUUGUAUUGGAAAACGUUUACUAGUUUUUACAAUAUUGUGCCAAAAUAAUGACAUAGUAUAGCAUUAUUAAAUUAUUAUGACAAAGUAUGUCUAAUCGAACUACAUUACAGGUUUAAAGUGGUCAUAUAAUGCGAUUUCAAUUUUUUCUUUCUCUUUGGAGUGUUAUCUACUCACCGCAGUGCUGAAAUUGCGUGCUCACGAAUCCUCUCAUUUUAACACACGAAGUGUAGACACUGAAAGAUUCAUUGUGCAUACAUUUAAUGUGAUAUAACAGAGCUUUAUGAAAUAGAGAUUAACUGAGAUGUCAACUUUUAGUGAUAAUAAAGGAAGCGCUGCUCGCAUUCUGCCAUGCCAAACCAUGCACGCAGCAGCCCAUGCUUGCUUUUCUGUUAAAAAUAACAGUGGUUUGUGAAUGUUGAUGCUUAGCCUAAAUAACAAAUAUUUUAUCGGUAGUGUUUAUGCUGGGAUGUUGUGGAGCUUAGGAGAUGUUACAGAACCAUUUCAUGUACAUUUUUUCGUUGUACUGAAAAAGUCUAUAUAGAUUACUUUUACUUUUAUUACGUUUUUGUAGCAUUUCCCUUUAAAUGUUAAUGAGCUCUGCUGACCCCGCCCCUCUCUUCCGAGCUGCUCUCUGAGGGACUGUUUACCAGAUGUCGGGAGUAAAUGAUGGCUGUUAUGUUCAUUAUUACAUCCAACAACAGAACACCUCAAUCUCUUAGGAGUCAUUCUUGUCUACAUCUGCUCCGGCGGUGGAACAAUGGCGGACUGAUGACAGUCACUCAGGGCGGAGCUAAGGUAAGACACCAGUCCAGUCUGUGCUGAAACACUACUGUCACUCAAACUAUCGUGGGAGGGGCCUGUCUGUGUGACGUCACACAGACAGGCAUCUGAGAUCGGCUCGAUUUGAGAAAUGUACAAAUUUAACCAGAUUAAAAAAAAAACACUGCCAACACACAUUUCAGUUCAAACAACUUGUAAAAGUGUAUGUAGCAUCAUAUGACCCCUUUAAAUGUUUUGGAAAACACAAAAAAGCUGGUAAUGGUGGUUUGUGAUUGUACUUUGUUUUAGUUUAGCUGGAAAACUGACUCUUAUUGUCUUCUUGCAUUAUUGACAAACUAUUUUCCUGUUUGACUCUGUAAAGCUGCUUUCACACAAUCAGUAUUAUAUAAAGCACUAUACAAAUAAAGGUGAUUUGACUUGACUUGACUAGUUGAUGGUAAAGCAUAGCCUGUAAAAAAUUGAGACCACUGCCAAAUUAUCACUUCCUCUGGUUUUACGAUGUAUAGGUAUGGGUUUGAGUAAAAUGAAUUUUUUUUUUUAAUUAUGUAAACUACUAUAAACAUUUAUCCCAAACUCUAAAUAAAAGUCAUUUAGAUUUUCAUUUAUUCAGCAUAAAAUGGUAACAGUUCAUGACAUGUUAGAGGUAUCAAUAUCGAUGAUAAAAUAUCCAUACCAACUUGCCGUACACUUUUUUUUACAGUCUGCGUGUUGUCACAUCCGGCUUCGAAUUCCCCCCUGCAUUAUUGUCAAUGGGGUAUAGCAGGGGUGUCACUAGGCCCUUUUUAGGGGGACUUCAAUAGAUUAAACAUAAACAUGUAAGGAGCAUGUAAUGUUACAUAAAUCUUUUAUUGACAUUUGCUUUUGAACAUUAUUGUAAAAAUGCAGGUUAUAGAAAAGACGUGGUUUCUAUAGCAACAGACUGUAAAUAUAUUGCUUUGAAUCUCUGUCUUUUUUAACAUUAAGUCUUAUAUUCAGAGCAUAUCUAUAUUUACAUUUGCAGAUUACAACAACACCCCAAAAUGUCGGUCUUCUCAGUGGCUUUCUGUGCUGCAAUGGCAGGUCAGAUCAGCUUCAUCCAUACUGAAAAUAAUCAGUUUACAAGACCAGCCUAAAUCCACCAGGACCUUCCGUGUGUUUUACAUCCCCAGCAAACCUCACAAUAAUUCACUGAACUGAGUGAAUCUCAUAAAAACUGUCAAAGAAAAAAUGAAUGAUUCACAUAAAUAUAAUUCAUACUACAUUGUCACAUAAAAUAUUGUCACAUUAUGACAUUACUUUCAUGACAAUCACAAAGAAACCCCUCCGAAUUUGCAAAAAAUAAUUAUUAUUAAAAAUUAUUUAAAUUGUGAACCAUACGUCAUGAUAAUAUUUGUGGUACUGACUGUAAUUUUGUAAAAAAUAAUAAAUUAAAUAUAAAAAAUACACAAAUAAAAUAAUAAUAAUAAAAAGAUCCAGGUCAUAUUUUACCCCAAAUACAUUUUUU